rnacentral:rRNA from 1 species
CAGCCGCCGCGGUAAUCCGUAGGGUGCGAGCGUUAAUCGGAACUACUGGGCGUAAAGCGUGCGCAGGCGGUUGUGUAAGACAGGUGUGAAAUCCCCGGGCUUAACCUGGGAACUGCGCUUGUGACUGCACAGCUAGAGUAUGGCAGAGGGGGGUGGAAUUCCACGUGUAGCAGUGAAAUGCGUAGAGAUGUGGAGGAACACCGAUGGCGAAGGCAGCCCCCUGGGCCAAUACUGACGCUCAUGCACGAAAGCGUGGGGAGCAAACAGGAUUAGAUACCCGUGUAGUCCCUGUCUCUUAUAC